GGCUCCUCAAGCGCGGCCAGAGUGGGCGCCGAGGCCGAGGAGGCACCGAGAGCGAGCUAGCAUGCUGUCACCUCUCAAUAAUAUUUACUACUAAAGACUGUUAAGUGUGAUGCUAGAUUGUUAGAGAUCUAACUAUUUGAGAGGUCCCCUGAGUGGAGCAGAAAUAGGAUUUUGCAUACAAUGCCUCCAUCUUGAACCAUGAUGACAAUGGCCAUACCUUAGAGGUG
rnacentral:lncRNA from 1 species